rnacentral:rRNA from 1 species
UACGUAGGUGGCUAGCGUUGUCCGGAUUUACUGGGCGUAAAGCGCACGUAGGCGGUCUCGUAAGUUGGAUGUGAAAGCCCUUGGCUUAACCAAGGAAGUGCAUUCAAAACUGCUUGACUUGAGUACCGGAGAGGGUCGCGGAAUUCUCGGUGUAGAGGUGAAAUUCGUAGAUAUCGGGAGGAACACCAGUGGCGAAGGCGGCGACCUGGACGGAUACUGACGCUGAGGUGCGAAAGCGUGGGGAGCAAACAGG